rnacentral:ncRNA from 1 species
GUGGUGUCUCGUGCGCUUUGUUCGACCCAUGAAAAUCCGAGGGAGGCUAUUUGAAUUUCGUGCCAGAUCGUACCGAUAUCCGCAGCAGGUCUCCAAGGUGAACAGCCUCUAGUCGAUAGAAUAAUGUAGGUAAGGGAAGUCGGCAAAUUUGAUCCGUAACUUCGGGAAAAGGAUUGGCUCUAAGGACUGGGCCGGUCGGGCUGCAGUGUGAAGUGAGUACGGUUUGAUCCAUGCAGUGCAACGCUUGGUGAAAUAAACAGGUGAAGCUCGGCUAGUGUUCGAACUGUCUUAUGGACCGCUACAGCUGCGUAUCACAUUGUUCCCAUGCGGUGUUGAUACUUCGGCCGGCGCUAAACAGUCAGCUUAGAACUGGCACGGACUCGGGGAAUCCGACUGUCUAAUUAAAACAGAGGAGACAGAUGGCCCUUGCGGGCGUUGACUGUCUCUGAUUUCUGCCCAGUGCUCUGAAUGUAAAAGUGAAGAAAUUCAACCAAGCGCGGGUAAACGGCGGGAGUAACUAUGACUCUCUUAAGGUAGCCAAAUGCCUCGUCAUUUAAUUCGUG